GCCCUGAUGUGGGGGAUAACCAUUGGAAACGAUGGCUAAUACCGCAUAAUGCCUACGGGCCAAAGAGGGGGACCUUCGGGCCUCUCGCGUCAGGAUAUGCCUAGGUGGGAUUAGCUAGUUGGUGAGGUAAGGGCUCACCAAGGCGACGAUCCCUAGCUGGUCUGAGAGGAUGAUCAGCCACACUGGAACUGAGACACGGUCCAGACUCCUACGGGAGGCAGCAGUGGGGAAUAUUGCACAAUGGGCGCAAGCCUGAUGCAGCCAUGCCGCGUGUGUGAAGAAGGCCUUCGGGUUGUAAAGCACUUUCAGUCGUGAGGAAGGUAGUGUAGUUAAUAGCUGCAUUAUUUGACGUUAGCGACAGAAGAAGCACCGGCUAACUCCGUGCCAGCAGCCGCGGUAAUACGGAGGGUGCGAGCGUUAAUCGGAAUUACUGGGCGUAAAGCGCAUGCAGGUGGUUUGUUAAGUCAGAUGUGAAAGCCCGGGGCUCAACCUCGGAAUUGCAUUUGAAACUGGCAGACUAGAGUACUGUAGAGGGGGGUAGAAUUUCAGGUGUAGCGGUGAAAUGCGUAGAGAUCUGAAGGAAUACCGGUGGCGAAGGCGGCCCCCUGGACAGAUACUGACACUCAGAUGCGAAAGCGUGGGGAGCAAACAGGAU
rnacentral:rRNA from 1 species